CCUACGGGAGGCUACAGUGAGGAAUAUUGGUCAAUGGACGAGAGUCUGAACCAGCCAAGUAGCGUGAAGGAUGACUGCCCUAUGGGUUGUAAACUUCUUUUAUAUGGGAAUAAAAUGUUCCACGUGUGGGAUUUUGUAUGUACCAUAUGAAUAAGGAUCGGCUAACUCCGUGCCAGCAGCCGCGGUAAUACGGAGGAUCCGAGCGUUAUCCGGAUUUAUUGGGUUUAAAGGGAGCGUAGGUGGAUUGUUAAGUCAGUUGUGAAAGUUUGCGGCUCAACCGUAAAAUUGCAGUUGAAACUGGCAGUCUUGAGUACAGUAGAGGUGGGCGGAAUUCGUGGUGUAGCGGUGAAAUGCUUAGAUAUCACGAAGAACUCCGAUUGCGAAGGCAGUUCACUGGACUGCAACUGACACUGAGGCUCGAAAGUGUGGGUAUCAAACAGGAUUAGAUACCCUAGUAGUC
rnacentral:rRNA from 1 species